GUACAACAUUUGCUGUGCUAUAAGGCACAUCUCUAUUCAUCUUCUGCUUGGUUGUACAUUUUGGAUGUCACAUUUACACGUUAUUUUAUAGUCGUGAGUCUCCACACGCACACCCACAAGAUGGACGAAAAGCAGUCUUGUUGUUGUGGUUGGCGGUUUUGUAAAAUCGUUAGUCUGAUUAUCGGAUGGUUUGGCGUCUUAUUGAGUGGUUUACUGAUUUAUGGACUAUGUGAACAUCCUGGGCAACGUUUUGGCAAGAGUCUCCAUGAAACGAUUAUUCCAUUUCUGCCUGCGCUGAAUUUGGUAGCUAGUUACUCAUGGAUUUUUGGGGUCGAUCGAAAUAAACCCGAAUUUAUGUUGGCUUCAUUGGUUUGGUGGGGAACAAAUUUGAUUCUGGUGUUUGUGUGCGUUUAUUCCUAUCUGCCAACAGCAUUUCAUGGAGAGACAUCAAGGUCACACGAACGAGAAAUGUACUUCUUACUUGCAAUUGACUAUUGGGUGUGCACUUAUGUCAUCGCAAUAUUUUGCUAUAGAUCAAUAAAACGUGUCCAUAAAAAUCCAGAAACGGCAGUCUAACUGAAUAUAAAUUGUAUACGAUGUAUGGACUGGAGAUUUCAAUGAAUUUCAAACGAUACUCAAUUAAGCUAUUUUCUAUUUAAAUGACUUUGUAAGAUUUAUUUGACAUUUUUAAUCAUUUUUUCGGUUCAUAUUUCAUCUUUUGACUUUUAAGCAUUAUUCAUUUCGUUUGUAAUAAAAUGGAGCAUAUUUUUUCAAUUAAUUUUACGUAUACAGCAUCAAAAUGUUUCAUGUUUGAAUCAAAUGAAUUGUGUCAAUAAACUCGGUUUGGUGUCCACAGGUAGUUAUCGAAAGAGCAAAUCUAUUUGUAACUUAAAUCGCUUGUUAUUAUCUUAUGGUGUUUACACUGUAUUAUAUCGUAGAUUAACACUUGACUUUUUUACAAUAUCACAGUUGGCUACUGUGGUUUUUGACGAUAUAGCAUCGUUUUAAGCAUCAGUCGCAAUUCGAUAGACUGACAAAACUGCUAGUUUCGCUCAAUAAAAAAUGGCAAAAACACAGUCAAAACACAGCGAAUGGAAAUUUUGCAGCAAAGAAAUUGGAUGGUUGGGAAUUGGAUUGAAUGUAUUAUGUUUGAUUUUAUUUCGUGGUAUUGAGAGUAACAUUUUGAGCUAUGCUACGAUCUGCACAUUUAUCUUAAAUGCAAUAGCGAGCACAGUAUGGUUGAUGGGCGUUGCCUUGAACCGACCGGAAUUAAUGGCUUUAACACUGAUCUGUUGGGCAAUAGAACUAUUUAUUUGGAUAUUUUUCAUAGUCAUACUUGCCAUUCCUGGACUACUUUUGAUUGGAAAUGACUCAGAUCGUGAGAAUAUCUUUUCAAUUUUUUCUGUCGCAAUGUUCAUAUUGGUGUUUAGUUUGAUUUAUUUCUAUUACGCUGUGAAGAGUUACCAAAAAUUGAAAGUGGUCAUUGAACAAAAUCGAUUGAAUGUCGCGUAUUCGGUUGCUUCAGCUGAAAUUGACAUUGAUUACAAAGAGCUUAAAUUUGAUCAAAAUGUGUAAUGGUCAAGAAUUUAUUCAAUAGACAAUAAAAACAGAAUCUCAAGGUUAAUGUAUGUGCUUCAAAUCACUUCAAUUUUCUUUUUGAAUAAAAUUGUUUUGCUUCACACCAAAA